UUGAGUACAAACUAAAGCAGCAUAACACCCAUACCUGUCACAAUCUUUGUUUUGGAGCUAGCACACAUUUUUGGUUCAUCUUUAUCACAAUGCUCUCUGCUUUUGAACUGAACUACUGGCGUAAGGUGUUUUGUGUCUCCAUAACAACCACUUUAUGCAGUUUUGUGCUAUAGACUGCAGCCCAAAUAGAGCGUGAGUAAAAGGGACAAAUAUAAGGUGCAAUGCUGUAACCAAUCACAGUGAGAGAGAGAAAAAAAAGGGAAAAAAAUUACUGCAAAAAAAAAAAAAAGUUAACAAAAAUAAAACUUACUGCAAUAUAAAUAAUAAAUAAAUAAAUGAAUAAAAUGAAUAAAUUAUUGUUAAGGUCCUUACACACCAGGAGCGUUUUUUUGUGUGAUUAUUUCGGACGUCAAUGUUUUUUCUCGAACCUGUAUCCUGUCAAUACAGUCUGCUGUUGUGUCAGUCUUCUCGCUUCCACCCGGGAUGCGUCUUUUUUUUCUCCGAAAAGUUGCAAGAUCUCGUUGUGCUUGAUGUGUAUAGUCUGGCGCAUCAAAAUUUUCCUCCGUAUAUUUCGUAAUUUCGCAUUGUAUAUUUGCGUCGAUCCCGGUGUGUAAGGACCUUUAAUCUCAAGUUUUUUUUAUAUGUAUAGUAUUUAACUGGAUAAUCUGUAUUAAAUGGGAGAUUAUGUGAAACAGAACCUUGACAUGGUGAGACAAGACGCUGAAAUGAAGAAAACAAUAUUCAGAUUUGAUGUUUUUUGCUUUACAAACAGAACUUCCUUUGCACCUUUUAACCUCAAAACCCCCAACAGGUUCUGUUACAUUUCACUGUGAUGUUCAGGUUAUCUAAACUGGUUCACAUUCUUGAGGAGAAACCCCAGGUCCAAGACGGCGCCACACCAGGGGACCUGAAUGCAGGGCUGAAUAAAAAGAUGAGAGGCCUGCUGGGAAUCUCUGAAGAGGAGAUGGAGAUAGAUGUGAGCAGAUUCAAUCUUCGUUUGCUGCCGUUGGCUCCCAGCAGGGUGUCAAAAUAGUCUGGAUUCAAAAGGGAAUCCUUUUUUUUCUGAAACUCCAGGCACAUUUGCUAAAGAAAAAAAAAACUGUAUUACUUGUAAUUGACAGAGCUAGGAUUGACAGCUGUUGAGGGUUUAAUAAUUUAAAACUCGAGCCGGUUUUCAUUUUAGACAAAAGAACAUGGCAACAGAAAGUAAAACAUGAUUUCCAACAGCAGAGUAACACUUUUCUUUUUAGACAAAUUAUAAAAUAUUUUCAGGACAACUAAAUUUAAUCUUCUUACCAAAUUUAUUCAACAGGUAUAAUCUUGUCUUUUGGCUGGUGGUGCAGUGUUAGCUUUUAUCUCUAUCUGUAGUCUAUUUAGUGAACAUUCACUUUAUUCUAUUUCUGCUUAAGAGGAUUUCUGCACUUUGAUUGAAAACCCACAGAAAAAAAGACACCACUGAUGUAGUAUAUUUAUUCAAAUUUAACAAUCUUUUAUCCUUAUAACCUCUGACAACUCUUUGAAAGGAAAAAGAAAGGCCUUGGCCCCAUCACAAGACAUGCAAAUCUUUUUGGGGGCCCUCUCCCACAAGACACAAUAACCAUCCAUAGAUGUGACCCCACUCGGCAGAGGCCCCCAUGCUGCCCCUGCAUGAGGGCCUCUCAAUGAACCGUGCAAUAAGAAAUGGAGCAAAGAGGCCUGCGCUGGGAGAGAGCCCACAUAUUUGCUCGUAUUCAGGAGGAGGCCAUGAGCCUCAGCUCGGCUUGGUGACAUCUUGUCAUCA